rnacentral:tRNA from 1 species
UCGAAAUAUGACGCAGUUCGGUAGCGUGCCUGUUUUGGGAACAGGAGGUCAUGUGUUCAAAUCACAUUAUUUCGAU